AACUUUCAACAACGGAUCUCUUGGCUCUCGCAUCGAUGAAGAACGCAGCGAAAUGCGAUACGGAAUGUGAAUUGCAGAAUUCAGUGAAUCAUCGAAUCUUUGAACGCAUAUUGCGCUCUUUGGUAUUCCGAAGAGCAUGCUUGUUUGAGUAUCAGUAAACACCUCAACCUCCUUUUGUUUUUUCAAAAGGAGGGUGGACUUGAGCUAUCCCAACAACCUUCACCGGUAGGCGGGCGGCUUGUACUGCAGGUGCAGCUAGACUUUUACCUGAGCUAAAAGCAUAUCUAUUUUGUCCUCGUCAAACAGGAUUAUUACUAUUGCUGCAGCUAACAUAAAGUAUAAUUGUCCUCAUUGCUGACUGAUGCAGGAUUUUACGACACUUUAUGGGUUGUCCAACUCGAUCUCAAAUCAAGUAAGACUACCCGCUGAAAUUAAGCAUAUCAAUAAGCGGAGGCU
rnacentral:misc_RNA from 1 species